rnacentral:rRNA from 1 species
GACGAACGCUGGCGGCGUGCCUAAUACAUGCAAGUCGAGCGCAGGAAGCCGUCUGAACCCUUCGGGGGGACGACGGUGGAAUGAGCGGCGGACGGGUGAGUAACACGUAAAGAACCUGCCCAUAGGUCUGGGAUAACCACGAGAAAUCGGGGCUAAUACCGGAUGUGUCAUCGGACCGCAUGGUCCGCUGAUGAAAGGCGCUCCGGCGUCGCCCAUGGAUGGCUUUGCGGUGCAUUAGCUAGUUGGUGGGGUAACGGCCAACCAAGGCGACGAUGCAUAGCCGAACUGGGAGGGUGAUCGGCCACACUGGGACUGAGACACGGCCCAGACUCCUACGGGAGGCAGCAGUAGGGAAUCUUCCACAAUGGACGAAAGUCUGAUGGAGCAACGCCGCGUGAACGAUGAAGGCUUUCGGGUCGUAAAGUUCUGUUGUAAGGGAAGAACAAGUGCCGCAGGCAAUGGCGGCACCUUGACGGUACCUUGCGAGAAAGCCACGGCUAACUACGUGCCAGCCGCCGCCGUAACAC